AUUGCCUCAGUAACGGCGAGUGAAGCGGCAACAGCUCAAAUUUGAAAGCUGGCCCCCCCGGGGGUCCGCGUUGUAAUUUGUAGAGGAUGAUUCGGCGAGGGCUCCCGCCUAAGUCCCCUGGAACGGGGCGUCAUAGAGGGUGAGAAUCCCGUAUGCGGUGGGCUGCCUUAGCCAUGUGAAUCUCCUUCGACGAGUCGAGUUGUUUGGGAAUGCAGCUCUAAAUGGGAGGUAAAUUUCUUCUAAAGCUAAAUACCGGCCAGAGACCGAUAGCGCACAAGUAGAGUGAUCGAAAGAUGAAAAGCACUUUGGAAAGAGAGUUAAAAAGUACGUGAAAUUGUUGAAAGGGAAGCGCUUGCAGCCAGACUUGUCCGCAGUUGCUCAGCCGGUCUCCUGACCGGCGCACUCUUCUGCGGCCAGGCCAGCAUCAGUUCGGGCGGUCGGAUAAAGGCCCCGGGAACGUAGCUCCUCUCGGGGAGUGUUAUAGCCCGGGGUGGAAUGCGGCCAGCCUGGACUGAGGAUCUCGCUUCGGCUAGGAUGCUGGCGUAAUGGCUGUAAGCGGCCCGUCUUGAAACACGGACCAAGGAGUCUAACAUCUAUGCGAGUGUUUGGGUGUCAAACCCAUGCGCGUAAUGAAAGUGAACGGAGGUGGGAACCCUCGCGGGUGCACCAUCGACCGAUCCUGAUGUCUUCGGAUGGAUUUGAGUAAGAGCAUAGCUGUUGGGACCCGAAAGAUGGUGAACUAUGCCUGAAUAGGGUGAAGCCAGAGGAAACUCUGGUGGAGGCUCGCAGCGGUUCUGACGUGCAAAUCGAUCGUCAAAUUUGGGUAUAGGGGCGAAAGACUAAUCGAACCAUCGACUACUAGGUGGUUAAGAGGUGGCUGAAAGUGCCCACCUAGUCCCCCCGUCCUCGGACGGGGGGGCGACAUCGCCAAAUUGCGGGGACUCCCUUAGAGCCUCUACUACCGCGGCCGGCCGAAAGGCGCGGUGCAGCACCGGGUUAAUUGCCUAGGGUACGGUAAAAAGGUAGAGGAUUGGGAAAUCCGCAGCCAAGCGCCUAAGUCCCGCGGGAUACGGCGAAGGUUCAGAGACUAGAUGGCGGUGGGUCCGGCCCGAGGGCCGGGCCUAAGGUAUAGUCCACCCCCUGCGGAGACGC
rnacentral:rRNA from 1 species